rnacentral:antisense_RNA from 1 species
UCUUACUAAUACCAGUCUCUGGAUGAACCUGCUUCAAAACCUUGUAGAUGUAAAGAGCAAAGGAUUCUGUUCUCUUACGUCUCUUUCUCUUGCCACCGUCUGCUGGAGACUUUCCUGCAGUCUUCUUUGCUGCUUGCUGCUUCUGGGCUGGUCCCUUAAUUGAUUUACCACUUUUUCCUGACAUGGCGAUUUUAUUAUUCAA